CCCGGAGCAGCGGUUUCUGGACGCUGUCAGCCAUGACCAUGCUGUUCUCGACGGGACUGUCUCGGCGGCGGACGACGAGGAGGUCCUUAGGCUCCUCAUUUGGUCCAUGGGAGCUACCCGUCGGUGGCCCCUGCUUAAGGUCAGAGAAAAUGGCUAGCCAGAGGGGGUACUGCCUCACUUGCCUACCCUGACUGCACAUCCCUGAUUCACGCUUAUGGACAAUGUCAACUUCAGUGAACAUUACAUGACUGUUUAAGAAGGCAACUGGUGAAAAAAAAAAUACACACUGUAUUAAGGAGUUUAGCAGUUACUUGCAGUUGGCUCAUGAGCAGGGUGUGCCCCGCGACUCAUCUCACCCAAAGGCAGCUGGGAUAGUUCACCUGCGACUGUAUGAAGAUGAGCACAACAGAAAAUUGAUGUUAAGUUUAUAUGGUUGAACAAAUGUUUAUUAUUAAGAGAUGUUAUUGUGGGUAAUAAAAAUAGGAAAGAAAACU